AGAGAUAGUCUACAUGGAGCGUGA
rnacentral:siRNA from 1 species